GCAUAUCAAUAAGCGGAGGAAAAGAAACUAACAAGGAUUCCCCUAGUAACUGCGAGUGAAGCGGGAAGAGCUCAAAUUUAAAAUCUGGCGGCUUUGCCGUCCGAGUUGUAAUUUAGAGAAGCGUUUUCCGCGCCGGACCGUGUACAAGUCUCCUGGAACGGAGCGUCAUAGAGGGUGAGAAUCCCGUCUUUGACACGGACCCCCGGUGCUCUGUGAUACGCUCUCGAAGAGUCGAGUUGUUUGGGAAUGCAGCUCAAAAUGGGUGGUGAACUCCAUCUAAAGCUAAAUAUUGGCGAGAGACCGAUAGCGAACAAGUACCGUGAGGGAAAGAUGAAAAGCACUUUGGAAAGAGAGUGAAACAGUACGUGAAAUUGCUGAAAGGGAAACGCUUGAAGUCAGUCGCGUCUGCCAGAAUUCAGCCUUAUGGUGUAUUUUCUGACAGACGGGCCAGCAUCACUUUCGAUUGCCGGAAAAAGGCAGAGGGAAUGUGGCACCUCUUCGGAGGUGUGUUAUAGCCCUUUGUCGUAUACGGUGGUUGGGAGUGAGGACCGCCUAUUUUGUAGGAUGCUGGCGUAAUGGCUUUAAACGACCCGUCUUGAAACACGGACCAAGGAGUCUAACAUGCCCGCGAGUGUUCGGGUGGAAAACCCGUGCGCGUAAUGAAAGUGAAAGUUGGGAAGGCUGUCGCGGCCUGCACCGACGCCCGGACCUGAGAUUUAUCGACGGUUCUGCGGUAGAGCGUGUAUGUUGGGACCCGAAAGAUGGUGAACUAUGCCUGAAUAGGGUGAAGCCAGAGGAAACUCUGGUGGAGGCUCGUAGCGAUUCUGACGUGCAAAUCGAUCGUCAAAUUUGGGUAUAGGGGCGAAAGACUAAUCGAACCAUCUAGUAGCUGGUUCCUGCCG
rnacentral:rRNA from 1 species